UUGCAGGCUGCAACUCGCCUGCAUGAAGUUGGAAUUGCUAGUAAUCGCGAAUCAGAAUGUCGCGGUGAAUACGUUCCCGGGCCUUGUACACACCGCCCGUCCACACCAUGAGAGUCGAUAACACCCGAAGCCUGUGAGCUAACCGUAAGGAGGCAGCAGUCGAAGGUGGGGUUGAUGAUUGGGGUGAAGUCGUAACAAGGUAAC
rnacentral:rRNA from 1 species